rnacentral:rRNA from 1 species
CCUACGGGAGGCAGCAGUGAGGAAUAUUGGUCAAUGGGCUUACGCCUGAACCAGCCAAGUCGCGUGAGGGAAGACUGCCCUAUGGGUUGUAAACCUCUUUUGUCAGGGAGCAACGCCGGCUACGUGUAGCCGGACUGAGAGUACCUGAAGAAAAAGCAUCGGCUAACUCCGUGCCAGCAGCCGCGGUAAUACGGAGGAUGCGAGCGUUAUCCGGAUUUAUUGGGUUUAAAGGGUGCGUAGGCGGUAUUUUAAGUUAGUGGUAAAACGUCGGGGCUUCACCUUGAUUGGCCAUUAAAACUGGAGUACUAGAGUACAGACGAGGUAGGCGGAAUAAGUUAAGUAGCGGUGAAAUGCUUAGAUAUAACUUAGAACCCCGAUAGCGAAGGCAGCUUACCAGACUGUUACUGACGCUGAAGCACGAGAGCGUGGGUAGCGAACAGGAUUAGAUACCCCUGUAGUC